AAUGUUGGAUGCAUAUUCGACAUUUGAAAGUACCAACUGGUACACUGAGAGAUGGACCCGCGUUGUAUUAGCUAGUUGGUAGUGUAAUGGACUACCAAGGCGAUGAUACAUAGCCGACCUGAGAGGGUGAUCGGCCACAUUGGGACUGAGACACGGCCCAAACUCCUACGGGAGGCAGCAGUAGGGAAUCUUCGGCAAUGGACGAAAGUCUGACCGAGCAACGCCGCGUGAGUGAAGAAGGUUUUCGGAUCGUAAAACUCUGUUGUUAGAGAAGAACGUUGCAUAGAGUGGAAAAUUAUGCAAGUGACGGUAUCUAACCAGAAAGGGACGGCUAACUACGUGCCAGCAGCCGCGGUAAUACGUAGGUCCCGAGCGUUGUCCGGAUUUAUUGGGCGUAAAGCGAGCGCAGGUGGUUUAAUAAGUCUGAUGUAAAAGGCAGUGGCUCAACCAUUGUGUGCAUUGGAAACUGUUAGACUUGAGUGCAGUAGAGGAGAGUGGAAUUCCAUGUGUAGCGGUGAAAUGCGUAGAUAUAUGGAGGAACACCGGUGGCGAAAGCGGCUCUCUGGACUGUCACUGACACUGAGGCUCGAAAGCGUGGGUAGCAAACAGGAUUAGAUACCCUGGUAGUCCACGCCGUAAACGAUGAGUGCUAGUUGUUUGGGGCUAUCCAGCCCUAAGUGACGCAGCAAACGCAUUAAGCACUCCGCCUGGGGAGUACGACCGCAAGGUUGAAACUCAAAGGAAUUGACGGGGGCCCGCACAAGCGGUGGAGCAUGUGGUUUAAUUCGAAGCAACGCGAAGAACCUUACCAGGUCUUGACAUACUCGUG
rnacentral:rRNA from 1 species